CGUAAACAACGUUGUUGUUUUUCACCAGAUCGCGUACUUUACCCACGCCCGAGCCGCCCGACCAGUUGACCGAAGGAGCCAGCUUUAGAGCCAGAGAAGCCAUCAACCCAGAAGUGCCAAUGAGUGAAGAAAUAAUGGAUGAAAAUUUGAUGAAACUUCCCAAAUGUGAUGAAAGAUAUGAUGUAAACAUCCAAGAAGCUCAAUGAGCUCCAAGUAAGAUGAACUCAAAAACCCGCAAUGAAACACAUUAUAAUUAAUCUUUCUAAGAGAAAGAGAGAAUCUUGAAAGUAGCAAGAGAAAAGCAAAUUGUUACAUGGAAGAAUCCUCAAUAAGAUUAUUAGCAGAUUUCUCAUCAGAAACUGGAGGCCAAAAGACCAUAAACCAAUACAUUCAAAGUGCUUUUAAAAAGUGGCAUUAUUGUCCUUCAAAAGUUAGGAAGAAAUUAAGACAUUCCCAGAUAAACAAAAGCUGAAAGAGUUCAUGACCACUAGACACAUCCUGUAAGAAAUGCUCAAGAGAGUCCUACAAGGUGAAAAGACACUGGAAACUAACUUGAAUCUGUAGGGAGAAAUAAAGAUCUGAACACAGGCAAUUAUAAAAGCUAGCAUAUCACUGUAGAAUGGUUUUAAAGAGCACUUUUUGUUUUCCAAUACAUUUAAAGAAAAACAAAGCAGUUAAUAAUACAGUUUCAUCCUGUUGUGAUCAGAGAAGAUACUCUGCAAGACAGCUAGCUUUUAAAAUCUUACUUAUAGGGGCGCCUGGGUGGCUCAGUCGGUUGAGCGUCCGACUUCAGCCAGGUCACGAUCUCGCGGUCCGUGAGUUCGAGCCCCGCGUCAGGCUCUGGGCUGAUGGCUCGGAGCCUGGAGCCUGUUUCCGAUUCUGUGUCUCCCUCUCUCUCUGCCCCUCCCCCGUUCAUGCUCUGUCUCUCUCUGUCCCAAAAAUAAAUAAAAAACGUUGAAAAAAAAAUUUAAAAAAAAAAUAAAAAAAUAAAAUCUUACUUAUUAAGACUUACUUACUUGUUAAGACUUACUAUUAACAAUUAUAUAGCAACAAAUUAGAUAAUAUAGAUAAAAUGGACAAAUUCCUAGAAACACAAAACCUACCAAGACUAUAUCACAAAGAAAUAGAAAAUACGAACAGACCUAUAACUGAUAACGAAUCAGCAAUAAAAAAAAUCUCCCAACCACAAACUGUAGAUGUGAUGGCUUCACAGGAGAAUUCUACCAAACAUUUAAAGAACUAACAUCAGUACUUCUCAAACCUUUCUAAAAAACUCAAGAGUAGGGAACACUUCCUAACUCAUUCUAUGAGGCCAGCAUUAUUAUCCUGAUACCCAAAGCCAGACAGACACUACAAGAACAAAAAAAUUUAUAGAGCAGCAUCUCUUAUGAACAUUAAUGCAAAAAAUCCUCAACAAAAUACUAGCAAAUAAAAAUCAGCAGCAUAUUAAAAGGAUUGUACACAAUGACCAAAUAGGAUUUAUUCCUGGAAUGUAAGGAUGGUUCAACAUAACCAAUUGAUCAGAAUGUAAGGAUGGUUCAAACAUAAGAAACUAAUGAACGUAAAACACCACAUCAACAUAAUAAAGGAAAAGACCUCACAUGAACAUCUCGAUGCAGAAAAGACAUCUGACAAAAUUCAACACCUUUUCAUGAUUAAAAAACCCAACAGACAAGGCACAGAAGGAAACUACCUCAACACAAUAAAAAAAAACUAUAGCUGACAUGUUUGAUGGUGAAAUGCUGAAAGCAUUUCCUUUAAGAUCAGGAACAAGUAAGGAUGUCUGUUUUCAUCACUUCUAUUCAACACAAUACUGGAAAUUAUAGCCACAGCAACUAAGCACAAAAAUGAAAUAGAAGGUAUCCAAAUGGGAAAGAAGUAAAAUGAUCUCUGUAGAUGAUAUGAUCUUAUAUUUUAAAAACUCUGAAGAGUCCACAAAAAACCUGUUUGAACUAAUAAAGUCAGCAAAACAGCAAGAUACAAAGUCACCACAUAAAAAUCAACUGCAUUUUUAUACACAAUUAGAGAACAACUUGAAAAGGAAAUUACAAAAGCAAUUCCAUGUACAAUAACAUCAAAAAGAAUAAAAUACUUAGGAGUUAACCAAGAAGGUGAAAGAAAACUUCAUCUUCUUGUACAAAAAAACUACAGUGACUACAAAACAUUGUUGAAAGGAAUUAAAGAAGACGUAAGUACAUGAAAGCAUAUCUCUUAUUCAUGAAAUGUAAGUCCUAAUAUUAUUAAAAUAUCAAUAUUACCCAAAGCAAUCUAUGGAUUCAAUGCAAUCCCUAUCAAAAUCCCAAUGACUUUUUUUUUUUUUUGCAGAAAUAGAAAAAUCCAUCCUAAUAUUCAAAGGAUCCCAAAUAGGCAAAAUAAUCUGGGGGGAGGGGAGGUGGGGAAGGAACAAAAUUGGAGGGUUCAUACUUUGAUUUCAAAAUUUACUACAAAGCUACAGUAAUCAAAACAGUGUGGCAUUGGCAUAAAGAUAGCCAUAUAGACCAAAGAAAAAGAAUAGAGAGCCAAUAAAGAAAUCCUUGCAUACAGUCAAAUGAUUUUUGACAGGGGUGUCAAGACCAUUCAAUGGGUGAAGGACAGUCUUUUCAACACAUGGUGCUCAGAAAAUUGUAUCUCCACUUGCAAAAGAAUGGGGUCUUUACCUCAUACCAAAUACAAAAAUUAACUCAAAAUAGAUCAAGGACCUAAAUGUAAGACCCAAAAGGAUAACACUCUUAGAAGAAAACAGGACAAAACUUCACAACACUGGAUUUGGCAAUGACUUAUUGGAUAUGAUACUAAAGGCUAAAAGCCAAUAAGGGCAGUACUGAGGUCUUCAGCCCAACAGCUUUUGAAGAACACCUUUUGAAUUUUGUCAACAAUCAUGUAAGUGAGCUUAAAAGUGGAUCUUUUCUCAGUCAAGUCUUCAGAUGAGACCACCUGACCAACACCUUCAUUGCAGCCUUUUGAGAGACCUCAAACAGAAGCACAUAGUGAAGCCACUCCUGAGUCCCUGUCUCAUGGAAAUGGCAUGAAAAUAAGUAUCUGUUGUUUUGGGCAAGUGCUUGGGGAAAUUUGUUGCUCAGCAAUAGAAAACUAAUACAACAUCCGUCUUACUCCAUUUCAGAUGCUAUAACAAAAUACCACAGACUAUGUGGCUAAAAAGAACAGGAAUUUAUUCCUCCUAGUUCUUCAGGCUGGAAGGUUGAGGUCAAUGUGCCAGUAUGGUCAGAUCCAGCCCACCCAACACAUCCUCAGCAGGAGUCCAUCCAAAGCAGUACCACAAGCACGGCAGUGUGCAAUCAGCCCUGGCAGGGGCCAGCACCACCCCAAAGUGCCUCCUUCCCUGAGUAAGUGGGGAAGAAAAUCACACAUACCAGUUCAACUGCUGAGGGCAGGUAUAUGAUCUGACUGCAGGUCCCACCCAACAACAAAAGCCUCCCAGGGGACCACACAGUGAGAGUACCCUGCAGAUUGGUGCUAUACACCUCUGGAAAACACCUAGUCUGACUCAACUCAAGCCCAAUGUAGCCCCAGACUGCUCACUAACAACACAGGGACCAAACCCCAUCCACAAUAGGGAAAAAAGAACCAAUGCAGACUGAUGGCAAACAUGGCUCAGCCACAACAGUAGGGUGCAUGUAACACACAUAGGAGACAACUCUGAAGCGCCAGGUUCUGUUGAACAGGGGACAACACACUACAGGCCACUACUUUUAAGAGCAGGAGAUGUAGCUGACUUUUCUAACCCAUAGAAACAGACACAGAGAGACAAAAUCAGGAGACAGAGGAAUAUCUCUCAAAUGAAAGAACAGGGCAAAAUCAUAGCGAGAGAGCUGAAUGAAACAGGUAAGUAAUAUGUCUGACAGAAAAUUUAAAGUAAUGGUCAUAAAGAUACUCACUGGAAUUGAGAAAAGAGUGGAAGACCUCAGUGAGACCCUCAACAAAGAGACAGAAAACAUGAAAAAGAACCAAUGAGAAAUGAAGAACUCAAUAAGUGAAAUUAAAACUAUGCUAGAUGGCAUAAACAGUAGACUAGAGGAAGCAGAAAGAUAGAUCAGUGACCUGGAAGACAGAGUAAUAUAGAGUAAUCAAGCUGAAUGAGAGAAAGAAAAAAGAAAAAGAAAAAUUGAAAAUAAAUUGAGAAUUCAGUGACAUCAUCAAGCAUAACAUUCAUACAUAGGGAUCCCAGAAGGAAAAGGGAGAGAGAAGAGGGAAGAAAUUUUAUCUGAAGAAAUAAUAGCUGAAAACUUCCUGAAUCUGGGGAAGGAAACAGGAAUUCAGAUCCAGGAGGCACAGAGAGAUCCCAACAAAAUCAAUCCAAGGAGUUCCACACCAAAACACAUAGGAAUUAAAAUGGCAAAAAGCAGUGAUAAAGAAUAAUUUUUAAAAGCAGCAAGAGAAAAGAAAACAGUUAUAGACAAGGGAACAGUUAUAGACAAGGGAAGUCCCAUAAAGUUUAUAUAAAGUUAGCAGCUGAUUUUUCAGCAGAAACUUUGCAGACCAGAAUGGAGUGGCAUGAUAUAUUCAAAGUGCUGAAAGAAAAAACUCUGCAAUCAAGAGUACUCUAUCCAGCAAGUCUAUCACUCAGGACAGAAGGAGAGAUGAAAGAGUUUCUCAGACAAAUAAAAGUUAGAGGAAUUCGUCACUAAACCAGCCUUACAAGAAAUGUUAAAGAGGAUUCUUUAUGUGAAAAGAAAAGACUGUAGAGGUGCCUGGGUGGCUUAGUUGGCUGAGUGUCCAACUUCGGCUCAGGUCAUGAUCUUAUGGUUCGUGAGUUUGGGCCGUGCAUCAGGCUCUGUGCUGACAGCUCAGAGCCCGAAGCCUGCUUCGGAUUCUCUCUCUCUCUCUCUCUCUCUCAAAAAUAAAUAAACAUUAAAAAAUUAAAAAAAAAAGAAAAAAGAAAAAAGAAAAGACUGUAAGCAAGAGUUAGAAAAUAUUAGGAAGCACAAAAGCAGUAAAAUUAUAUCUAUAAAAAUCAGUCAAGGGAUUCACAAAAUAAAAGGAUGUAAAGUAUGGUACUAUACACCUAAAACUUGGGGCAAGGGGUGAGGUGAAGAGUAAAGAAUGAGUUCAAACUUAAGCGACCAUAACUUAAUAUAUACUGCUAUAUGCAGAAGGUGUUGUGUACAAAACUAAUGGUAACCAUAAAUAAAAUACUAAUAAUAGAUGCUACACAAAAAGUAAAGAAAAGGAAUCCAGGAAUAUCACUACAGAAAGCCAGAAAAUAGUGAGACGAGAGAGCAAGAGAAGGAAUAGAGAAGAACUACACAAGCAACUAUGAAAUGAGUAACAAAAUGGUGGUGAAUACAUACCUAUCAAUAAUUACUUUGAAUUUAAAUGGAGUAAAUGCCUCAAUCAAAAGACAUAGGAUGACAGAAUAGAUAAAAACGCAAGACCUAUCUAUACGCUACCUACAAGAGGCUCAUUUCAGACCUAAACACAGAUUGAAUGCAGAUUCAGUGCAGAUUGAAAGUGAAGGGAUGGAGGAAGUUUUAUCAGGCAAAUGGACGUGAAAAGAAAGCUGGGGUAGUAAUACUUAUAUCUGACAAAAUAGACUUUAAAACAAAGACUAACAAGACAAAGAAGAACACUACAUAAUCAUAAAGUGAACAAUCCAAGAAGAUAUAAUAAUUGUAAAUAUUUAUGCACCCACAUGGAGCACCCAAAUACAGCAAAUAAAAAACAUAAAGGAAGUAAUUGAUAAUAAUACAAGAAUAGUAGGGAACUUCAACACCCCACUUACAUCAAUGGAUAGAUCAUCCAAACAUAAUCACAAGGACACUUUGGACAACAAGGACAAGUGGCUUUGAAUAACACAUUGGAUCAAAUGGAUUUAACAGAUAUAUUCAGAAUAUUCCAUCCUAAAACAGCUGAAUACAAUUCUUUUCAAGUACACAUGGAACAUUCUCCAGAACAGAUCAUGUAUUAGGCCACAAGUCUCAACAAAUUAAAAAAGACUGAAGUCAUACCAUGCAUCUUUUCUGACCACAAUGCUAUGAAUCUGGAAUUCUACAACCACAAGAAAAAAAUAUGGAAAAACACAAAUACAUGGAGGUUAAAUAACAUGGUACUAAACAAUAAAUGGGUCAACCAAGAAAUCAAAGAGGAAAUAAAAAAAUACAUGGAGACAAAUGGAAAUGAAAACACAACAGUCCAAAAUCUUUGGGAUUCAGCAAAAGCUGCUCCAAGAGGGAAGUUUAUAGCAAUAUAUGCCUAACUCAAGAAGCAAGACAAAUCUCACAUAAACAACCUAACCUUACACUUAAAGGCUAGAAAAGAACAAAAAAAAAAAAAGACCCCAAACCAAUAGAAGGAACAUUAGAGAAGAAAUAAAAUAGAAUAUAAAAAGACAACAAUAUAACAGACCAAUGAAAACAGGAGCUGGUUCUUGAAAAGAUAAAAAAAAAAAAAAAAAAAAAAAUUGAAAAAACUUUGGCCAGACUCAUUAAGAAGAGAGACAGAAGCAGGGAGGGAAUGAGGGAGAGUAAGAGAGACAGAGAGAGAACUCAAAAUCAGAAAUGAAAGAGGAGAAAUAACUGACAUCUCCGAAAUACAAGGGAUUAUAAGAAAGUAUUAUAAAAAAUUAUAUGCCAACAAAUUGGAUAACCAAUAAGAGAUGGAUCAAUUUCUAGAAACAUAUAACCUCCCAAAACUGAAUCAGGAAUAGAAAAUCUGAACAGACUAACUACCAGUAAUGACAUUCAAUCAAUAAUCAAAAAACUCCAGGGGCGCCUGGGUGGCGCAGUCGGUUAAGCGUCCGACUUCAGCCAGGUCACGAUCUCGCGGUUUGUGAGUUUGAGAGGCCUGAGAAAAUUAAAACUUAAAAGCUUAAGUUACGGGAAACUGAAACCUAACCAAGCUUAACCAGCUUGUUCCGCUUCUGUACAAUUGCUUGGCGCGCCCAUGUAUUCCUGAUCAAUCAUUGUUGCCUGGCACAUCCGUAUAUUCCUGAUCAAACAUUGUUACUUGGCACAUCCGUGUACUCCUGAUCAAUCAUUGUUGCCUGGCACAUCCAUGUAUUCCUGAUCAAUCAUUGUGAUACCCGUACCCCCGGUUGUGGUCUGACCUAAAGGCAGGAACCAAUCGAAUACUGUUAAGUGUCCAACUUUAAACACCAACCAAUCGCAGCUCUGUAACUGUGGAAAAUUCCUGAUUUCCCCAUGACUUGUUUGUACCUGUCUAUAAAAGGGGUGUAAAAACCUCUCUCAGGACCUCUCGGCGUCACCGGCAACGAGGGCGCAGAGGUCCAGGUUCGAACCUGCAAUAAAUGACCCUUGCUGCUUAGCUUUGA